GUGGGGCUAUAAUAAUGGUAAUAAAGAAAGAACCAUCCUUUUCAACUUAGGCACAGACCCUCUUUCACUUUACCAACUCUUCCUCAUCCUCCUGAAGCUCCAAGAAGCAGUCAUGGAGAUGGGAUUGCUCUAUCAACGACACAGAAGCAACUAGCAAGCUGGCUAGCUGUUCAUCGAUCAUUUUCUUGGUGAUGGGAUUGAAUUUGAAAGAACUUGCCAUCUUAAUAAAGUUAUCAUAAAGUGAGGCCUCUUUCAGGUGGUUGUGUACGGAUUGGCGUUUUACAGGUAUGGAUUUUGACGAUGGAGCUGAGAAGGAAGAAUAUGAAGUUGGUAUAAAAAUGUCAGAUGGGUUUUCUAUUUCUGGAGCUACCUUGGCUUCUAUGGAGUCUCUGUCUCAUCCAAUAGUUCAGAAGGUGGUUGUUUUUGCUGAUAUGCAAUGUAAGAAUUGCCAGAAGAGAGUUUCUGACAUUAUCACAAAAUGAACGGUAUUGUGAUUCAAUUGGAUCAAAAUACAUUGAGCAUAUAAGCAGAGACAGAAUCAUUGGAAGUGAACGUGUUGGAAAAGAAGGUGACUCUCACUUUUAGAUUACCAACGAUUGGUGAAGUGAUGCAACAGCGCCAAUUAGCUCCAAUCACUCGCACUUCACUCCCUAAAGCUGCCCUCAUCAAACGCUUAUUUCGCUCUCUUCAUAUCCUUCACUGAGCAAGUCCUCGUGCCUUGUUCGGAUUUGGAUUCUCUCCAUUGCUCAAUUCUUAGAAUAGGUAAAUCCAAUGACCAUGUCUUUUCACAUAAGCAAUUUCAAGAAUCAAUUGAUAUUUUGUACUUAAAUUUUCUUUCUAUAGAAUAAAUGAUUGUCCUUUUUCUUAAAAUAAUGUUUCUCUUCAUGUAA